UCCGUAGGUGAACCUGCGGAAGGAUCAUUAACAAGUCUGCCGUCCCGUCGAUGAUACACAUCGCAGGGGCGACAUUUGUCCCGUGUGCACGUUCGCUCUGCACACGACAUUUCUGCGAAUCCUCUGACACGUCAAUGCAACAAACGAAACAACUUUUAACAAUGGAUCUCUAGGCUCCUGCAUCGAUGAAGAACGCAGUGAAGUGCGAAAAGUAAUGCGAUUUGCAUGCUCUGUGGGUCAUCGAAUCUUUGAACGCAUAUGGCACCCUCUGGCCCUGCCAGGGGGUAUGCCUGUUUGAGAAUCAUUCAUCCCUUUGGUCACUGGCACGUCCAGGUGGCCGAGACAUGGACCUUCACCGCUGAUCGUCUUGAAUGCAUGCACGGCUGUCGUGGCAAGGGAAGCGAUUCCAUUGGUGGCGGCAGCCAUCCAUUGUGCAGUGAUCUCAAAUCAGGCAGGACUACCCGCUGAACUUAA
rnacentral:rRNA from 1 species